rnacentral:lncRNA from 1 species
UAGCCCAGAUUUACAUUCUUAUCUCAAAAUAACCUGCAAUACAUUUCCUUUAUACCAAAUAACAAUCCAAGCAAUUCAAUUCACAGCAACAAUCCAUAUUAAUACAACAUAUAGACUAACUAGUUUCUAUGAACUUUAUAAAGAUUAGACUUACCUUUCAUUUGUCGCAAAUUUUAAGUAUGAUAAUGCUUGAAUGUAUUUCAAUUGCUAAAAUAGAUUUCAAUCCAGCAGCAAAUUUCGAUUCCCAGGAGCUCCCAUUUCUUCAGUAGAACUAAGGAAGCUUUGAAGAGUUAUGGAAUUAAUUUGGAAACUUUAACACAAUUCCUUUUCUUCUUCUUCUUUUGGAACGAAUGAAGCAGGGCUAUUUUUUAUUUUUUAUUUUUUAUUUCCUUACUUUCGGGACGAUUAGGAGACGAGAAUUGAACGUUUGGGACUGAGAAA